UACGUAGGGGGCUAGCGUUGUCCGGAAUUACUGGGCGUAAAGGGUGCGUAGGCGGCGCCUUAAGUCAGAUGUGAAAUAUCCAGGCUUAACCUGGAGGGUGCAUCUGAUACUGGGGUGCUUGAGUGCAGGAGAGGAAAGUGGAAUUCCUAGUGUAGCGGUGAAAUGCGUAGAUAUUAGGAGGAACACCAGUGGCGAAGGCGACUUUCUGGACUGUAACUGACGCUGAGGCACGAAAGCGUGGGGAGCAAACAGG
rnacentral:rRNA from 1 species